rnacentral:ncRNA from 1 species
AGAGAUGCGUUGAGGAAGACAUGAAAAGAGCGUGGCUGAUACAGAGAGCUGAUGGUUGGUGCAAAUCAGUGAGGCCUUCUUUGAUAGCCCUUCUAAGCAGACACAUUGAAACGAGUAGAUGUGAUCCGGUUUAUUUCCGUUAUAAAUACAAGUGAUUUGCAUAACAUGCAUUUAAACGAGGGUGGUACCGCGAGUAACUCGCCCCUCAC